GGGAGCCCAGGCAGAGGAGGCGCCCAGAGCGAGCGAGGGCUGUGAGGACUGCCAGCACGCUGUCACCUCUCACUCAUAUAGAUUGCCAAUCUAUUUGUGAACCAGGUUUGCUGGAGUUUGGAUUUACUACUGAGUCAUAUUUGGAGCAUGCUGGAAUCUUACAACUGAGAUUACCGAGUCAGAAACUUGCAAACAUGAGUAACAUGGCCCUGCUCUGGAGACUACUGGGAACACAAACACAGCCAUUUAAGACAUCUACCUGCUUCUCCUUUGCCUUCCAUCAUGACUGAAAGUUGUCUGAGGUCUCCCAGCCACGUGUCCUGUACAGCCUGUGGAACUGUGGUACAGUUGAAGAAAGAGCUCAACUCUGGCAAAGGGAGACCAAGAGUAACCUCUGGUGUGGAAGUUGGCUGAGCACUCAGUGCCUGACUGUGCUAUACUCCUGUUGGACAUGAGCUGUCUCUCAGAACACCAAUUCAGACAAGGUUACUCCAAGACUAUGAUACAAUAAAGCAAAGCAAGGAUACUUCGUAAUUUUGUGGAAGCACAGACAAAAUCAAUAUCAGUAUGCCACCUACAAAAGACCAAACAGCCCUUCUCUUGGCCAAAAUGAGUGAUGUCUACUUCUUUACUAAUGAAGUUUUAUUUUUGUUCUAGUCAGCUCUCCAUCCAGAUGAGAUUUUUUGAGAUACCCAAUCUUAUAAUUGCCUCCAGCUUUCUGACAGCAUCUAAUUUUGGCAAACUCUCCCCUCCUUCUGUCCUCUCCCAAAUGACCUAACCUAAACCCCAAAUCUACAGAAAGUUAUUUCUAUUACCAUCUUACUGAGA
rnacentral:lncRNA from 1 species